rnacentral:rRNA from 1 species
GACGAACGCUGGCGGUGUGCUUAACACAUGCAAGUCGAACGGUAGGGCCCUUUCGGGGGUACACGAGUGGCGAACGGGUGAGUAACACGUGAGUAACCUGCCCUCAUCUCUGGGAUAACAGUCGGAAACGGUUGCUAAUACUGGAUAUGAGCUUGCAAGGCAUCUUGUGGGUUGGAAAGAUUUUUUUUGGUUGGGGAUGGACUCGCGGCCUAUCAGCUUGUUGGUGAGGUAGUGGCUCACCAAGGCUUCGACGGGUAGCCGGCCUGAGAGGGCGACCGGCCACAUUGGGACUGAGAUACGGCCCAAACUCCUACGGGAGGCAGCAGUGGGGAAUAUUGCACAAUGGACGGAAGUCUGAUGCAGCAACGCCGCGUGCGGGAUGACGGCCUUCGGGUUGUAAACCGCUUUCAAUUGUGACGAAGCUUUUUUGUGACGGUAGCAGUAGAAGAAGCACCGGCUAACUACGUG